rnacentral:rRNA from 1 species
UACAGAGGGUGCGAGCGUUGUCCGGAAUUACUGGGCGUAAAGGGCGCGUAGGCGGCCUGAUAAGUCGGGGGUGAAAGUCAGCGGCUCAACCGCUGGACUGCCUUCGAGACUGUCGGGCUUGAGCAUGGUAGAGGCUGGCGGAAUUCCCGGUGUAGCGGUGGAAUGCGUAGAGAUCGGGAAGAACAUCGGUGGCGAAGGCGGCCAGCUGGGCCAUUGCUGACGCUGAGGCGCGACAGCGUGGGGAGCAAACAGG